AAUUAGAUUUUACACUUUAAAAACGCUUACCGCGCAGCAGCAUUACACAUUACGCAGCACCGCACCGCUAUGAUGUGGGCGAACAUCGAUUCGACGAUAGUGACGUAAAACAAUUAGUGACGACAUCGUCCGCGAUAAAGUCACCGGGUUAACCUUAGCCGGUGGUACUGAAUAAUGGCGUUCGAGAUGAUCAAAAUGAAGACGGAAUGAACGAUGCACGGCUACGUAACUGUCAUUGUCAAUGUAAAACAAUUUUAUCGCAUACAAGCACGUUGUUCAUCACUCCACUGUACCGUGUUUACAGAAAAUCUAUUUUUAAAAUCGGCCGUUUCGGUUGUACCCCGCCCUGUAGAUUCGGCCAAACGACCGCCGGUUUGUAAUUCACGGUAACAUACGGCGGUGGCACGAGUGACGGCCGCGGGGUGACAGUGAGAACGGGCG